rnacentral:misc_RNA from 1 species
AAAAAAUUUGUUUCAAUUUUUGUCUAGCAUACAUACACGAAUUGAAACACAAAAUAGAAGUUCUCCAAUUAUAACACUCAUCAUCAAGUAUACAACUAUCCCAGGAACAAAUACCCAUGAACCUUCUCAAGUUUCCGAUGCGAUCCUAAGAGCCUUGGUCUUGAAGCGGUACCUGGGUGCCCGAGGGAUGACCUGACUAGGACCCAUAUGAAACUGACCAGGGCUAUCGGUGAGAGGAGGGCCAUCAUCGUAAACAUAACCCACAAGUCGUCCACAGCUAUUGCAUAUAAUCUUGGUCCUCUUUCUCUGAAUUCCCCAGUAAUUAACAGUCUCGAAAAAUGGUCUGAUCUUGUCCUCCUUCUCGAACCUGAACUUGGUGGAGUCGAUCGAAGAGAAGGAGAGCGUGCCUUUGUUCCCUGCCUCGAAGUAGAAGUCCGGCGGAUAGAGACA